rnacentral:lncRNA from 12 species
UGAGGAAACCAUAAGUUAUAUUUUCCCUCUGACAUGUCUUCUUGAUCCAAUAUUAUCCCUUCCUGUGAUAGUAGUCAUGACCUGUUGCCCUCACCCAUAGCUCUCAGUUUCAUAUAACAUGGCAGUGGUCUUUAUUUCUAAUAUCUCUGGAAGAAACUGGGCAUCUAAAAUCCAGCUCUAGUGGAGGAGGCAGAGAGGUGAAGACACCAACUGGACAUUGGACAAAGGAAAGAAGACAAAAACAACAAAGCUUGAUAAUGUAACACAGUAAAUAAUACCUCCGAAGACUGUUAAAUCAUUCUGCGUAUCUGGAAAGGUGGUUAUUUUCAACUAACUUGGAUCAACAUUGGAGCCACGCCAUUUGACUUUUUAUUUAUUUGUAUUUUUUUUAUUUGACUUUGUAAAGAAAUCAGUAGUACAUCAUUCCAUAUAAUCUAAGCAAACUGACCUUCAGAGAUGUUUUGCUCACUGCUAGUUACUGUUCAGCGAUUGGAUCAUUAUUAGGAUAACCUCAAUUUGAUAGAUAUUCUCAAAUACGUGGUCUGAUUAGUCUUGUCACUGUAUCCAGCGGAGGAUUCCUGGAGAAGAGUAG